UACGUAGGGGGCAAGCGUUGUCCGGAAUCAUUGGGCGUAAAGAGCGUGUAGGCGGUCCGGUAAGUCCGUUGUGAAAGUCAGGGGCUCAACCCUUGAAUGCCGGCGGAUACUGUCGGGCUAGAGUCCGGAAGAGGCGAGUGGAAUUCCCGGUGUAGCGGUGAAAUGCGCAGAUAUCGGGAGGAACACCAAUUGCGAAGGCAGCUCGCUGGGACGUCACUGACGCUGAGACGCGAAAGCGUGGGGAGCAAACAGG
rnacentral:rRNA from 1 species